AAUAUUGCACAAUGGAGGGAACUCUGAUGCAGCAACGCCGCGUGAGUGAAGAAGGUUUUCGGAUCGUAAAACUCUGUCAUUGGGGAAGAAUAAAUGACGGUACCCAAUGAGGAAUCCCCGGCUAACUACGUGCCAGCAGCCGCGGUAAUACGUAGGGGGCGAGCGUUGUCCGGAUUUACUGGGUGUAAAGGGCGCGCAGGCGGUUUAGUAAGUCAGCUGUGAAAGUCCAGGGCUUAACACUGGAAUUGCAGUUGAAACUACCAAACUUGAGAUAAGGAGAGGAGAGCGGAAUUCCUAGUGUAGCGGUGAAAUGCGUAGAUAUUAGGAAGAACACCAGUGGCGAAGGCGGCUCUCUGGCCUUACCCUGACGCUGAGGCGCGAAAGCGUGGGUAGCGAACA
rnacentral:rRNA from 1 species